GCUGGGCAUGGUGGCGGGUGCCUGUAGUCCCAGCUACUCAGGAGGCUGAGGCAGGAGAAUCGCUUGAGUCCAGGAGGCGGAGGGUGCAGUGAGCUGAGAUUGCGCCACUGUACUCCAGCCUGGACGACAGAGUGAGACUCCGUCUCAA
ensembl:misc_RNA Metazoa_SRP Metazoan signal recognition particle RNA